rnacentral:rRNA from 1 species
AUGUGCAGCAAGCACCGAGAUGAGCUCUGGGGGAAGCUCCAGUCAGUUAUAGAUCCAGAAUAUUGUGAAAAUGCAUCACAGGAUGAUCACUUGGUAGAUGAGAUAACGUUCAGCCGCCAGCCUGACACCUUCCUUUUACCAAGGGUGCAUAAUAUGUUUGAAUCCUUGCUGCUUUCACCAUCUGUUGGAAUACAGGCAGAGCCCUUCGCUGAAAUGCGACAAAGGAAAUGCAGAGAAGGAUCUGAGAUCCUUGAGAUCACCAGGGAGAAGCUGAGGAUGUUGCCUCAAGAUACACUUAGCACUGAGUUUCAGGAGCGCUGUUCCGAAAUAGAGGAAUUGUGGCUUAAGUUUCUCGAAGUUACUGUUGUGGACUAUCGUGAAAUCAUUCUUCCCCUUGCGAGAUCAUACCAAUGGAUAGAAUUGAAGAAACGGGUUCCUUUUUAUCUAAAUCAUCCUGGUAGUAGGCGUAUCGGAUUUGCUGAUGCCAACAUUGAUAUUAUAUGCGGU